rnacentral:rRNA from 1 species
CGUGCGCAAGUCGCAGGGCAGUACGAAACCCGGAGGCGAAAUGAAAGUGAAGGCCUGCCUCGCGCAGGCCGGGUGGGAUCCCGCGGAGAGGCAACUCUCGACGGGCGCACCACCGGCCCGUCUCGGCCGCGUCGUCGGCGAGGCGGAGCAAGAGCGUACUUGUUGGGACCCGAAAGAUGGUGAACUAUGCCUGAGCAGGACGAANCCAGAGGAAACUCUGGUGGAGGUCCGUAGCGAUUCUGACGUGCAAAUCGAUCGUCUGAYUUGGGUAUAGGGGCGAAAGACUAAUCGAACYAU